rnacentral:lncRNA from 1 species
GGUGGAACAGAUGUUUGGUCCCAUCCAGUGGAAGUUGGCUGGGUUGGAUAACCAGAAUAAGGGGGCUGAGACAUAUUAUACGGUGGUGGUGGUGCCCCAGGAUACGAUCCAGGCUGCAUAUAGCCAUAUCCAGGUUGCUGAGAGGAAGGUCCUGGUGGGCCCCAACUUGGGGGCUGAGGACGAAAACCUUGCUGAGAGUAGCCUCCGCCCAUUGCUGGAUUUCGAACACGAUUCUGCAAAUAUUUUUGCAAUCAUAUGAACCAUAAUCUAAAUGCCUAACAUUAGAGAUAUCUAUAUAUCAACAUGGGAAGGUAAAACAAAUAAAAUGAAUAUGGAAAGAGAUGCUCAAUUCUUUUGUGGAGGGGAUAUAUAUUUGAUAUGUAUCUUCACCUUCCACGUGUCACAUCAACAUAUGCAUCUAUGUGGGUUGGGCACAAGAAUCAAUGAAUCAUCCAACACUUUGGUCCAACUCCUUUUUGUUUAGCAAAACAUAGUACUUCUAAGCAGUAAGCAGUAAGUAAGCACCAUGGAGCACUCUCACAACAUAUGGGCAAGUUUAGGGGCAAGCAAUUAAUCAACAGAAAUCUGAGCUCAUUCACGAUAGGCACCUUCCGACCUAUAUCACUAUCGAUAUUGUCUCCACUUAAUCAUUGUGGUUAUUUAACAGUGUGGGGUUUUUAUAGACAACAGCCUACUUCCCAGGAGGUCGCCCAUCUUAAGAAUACUUCCACCCGAGCACGCUUAACUCUGAAUCUAUACAUAUAUUCCAAUUAGGGUUGUUAAACGAACCGAACAGCUCGAGCUCGGCUCGAGCUCGUGAGUAUAGCUAAACGAACCCUGGGGCUGAUUGUAACUGGAAGCUGGCGCCUGAUCAUAAAAUAAAGCUCGUCUAAAAUUUGGGUUCGGCUCGUUUAUAAACGAACCGAGCUUGAACAUACCAAAUCUCGGCUGAUUAUAGUAAUCAUAUCUACUACCCUGGUUGGUCUGCUGACUCGGUGGAACAGAUGUUUGGUCCCAUCCAGUGGAAGUUGGCUGGGUUGGAUAACCAGAAUAAGGGGGCUGAGACAUAUUAUACGGUGGUGGUGGUGCCCCAGGAUACGAUCCAGGCUGCAUAUAGCCAUAUCCAGGUUGCUGAGAGGAAGGUCCUGGUGGGCCCCAACUUGGGGGCUGAGGACGAAAACCUUGCUGAGAGUAGCCUCCGCCCAUUGCUGGAUUUCGAACACGAUUCUGCAAAUAUUUUUGCAAUCAUAUGAACCAUAAUCUAAAUGCCUAACAUUAGAGAUAUCUAUAUAUCAACAUGGGAAGGUAAAACAAAUAAAAUGAAUAUGGAAAGAGAUGCUCAAUUCUUUUGUGGAGGGGAUAUAUAUUUGAUAUGUAUCUUCACCUUCCACGUGUCACAUCAACAUAUGCAUCUAUGUGGG